rnacentral:lncRNA from 1 species
UGUAGAAAAGAAUAUUUUAUUGAAACAGUUUCUCAAUUAACAAUGGACCAAAGUACAAUUUGACUCAAACCUGUCCAACCAGCCUCAACCGCUAGUGAAAGAACUCAAACAUACAGUAUGGGGUGGGACCCUUAAGUCUCAUAUCUGCCAAUGUGGCAAAAAAAAAAAAAAAAAAGGAAAAAAGACAAAGGACAGACACAACCAGGUUCCCCCUUGCCCUGGGAGCUGGGUGGCGCUGUGGCUCCUGCUCCAGACGAAUACUGGAGGACAGGCUCCCCAACAUCGGCUUGAUGGGUAAAGAGCCUCCAUCUUGGCAGAGCAAUGCAAGAAAGGCAGGCCAGCCCACACCCUCUUCCUUCACCCACACGGCCUGCCUCAAAGAGGGCGAGGUGGCAUUUUUACAUUCACGCCAUGGUCUCUCCUUCUCCCAGGGUCUUGGGAUAGGGGCUCACAGUAGAAAGCACAUUUUGGUCAGCCCAGGGGGCCAAGGGACCAGGGAAAGGCCAUAUCUAGGAGGGCAGAAGACAGGAGAGCAGAGAGGGCCAGGAGUCACAGGGACACGGAGGGACAGGAACAGGGAAGAUGCAGACUCUGACAGUGCUCGCAGGAUGCUGGCAUCCCACGCUGGCCACUCCACACGCUUUCCUGUGUCUGAGAGGCCGUAAGUGGGAGCUCCCGGGUUUUCAGACGUCUCUCCCACAGAGGCGGCUGGCUUCCCUUCUUCACGUUCUUGCUGCCUACUCUGGCCACCGCGGGUGGGGAUGGAUCUAGCUUUACUGCAGCCAGUCCAGAUGGAAAGGCUGGGGCAAGAGGCAGACAGCUGCCUUACUCACAACCGGAAGCCAAGGAAACCAGGGGAAGAGUCGUCACCGGGGAUGGGGCCUUUUAGGGAAAGACAAGACCUUGGAGGAGGAAAGAGCAUAGAUAGGCACUCAGAAACCAGACCUGGUAACCAAGGCUCUGUAGACACUGGCCCCUGUAGGGGCGGACUUGGUAGUGGAAGAGGGAAGCAGGGAGGAGGACAGAGAAGACUGGAGACUCUCUAAUAGCCCAGGGCAUCCCUCUCCCACCUGCCAGGUCCAUCGACCCCAUCAACAGCCAAUCUCUCACCUACCCACAGGCAAAGAAUUAAGACAUAAUAGUGAUUUUCCCCAAAUGAGGGCCUGGAUGGGUAAGGAACCAGGGGUGGGACUGGGAAAUAGAACAAUUUCAGUUUUUACCACAGAACCACUGCCGAAGGAACUGGUGAGCCGUCCCUUCUUCCCCCUUCUCCACACCUCCAAUCAAGGUGAGAGAAAAGGAAC